rnacentral:rRNA from 1 species
GACGAACGCUGGCGGCGUGCCUAAUACAUGCAAGUAGAACGCUGAAGAGAGGAGCUUGCUCUUCUUGGAUGAGUUGCGAACGGGUGAGUAACGCGUAGGUAACCUGCCUUGUAGCGGGGGAUAACUAUUGGAAACGAUAGCUAAUACCGCAUAACAAUGGAUGACACAUGUCAUUUAUUUGAAAGGGGCAAUUGCUCCACUACAAGAUGGACCUGCGUUGUAUUAGCUAGUAGGUGAGGUAACGGCUCACCUAGGCGACGAUACAUAGCCGACCUGAGAGGGGGAUCGGCCCCACGGGACCUGAGACCCGGCCCAGCCCCCUCCGGGGGGCAGCCGUAGGGAAUCUUCGGCAAUGGGGGCAACCCUGACCGAGCAACGCCGCGUGGGUGAAAAAGGUUUUCGGAUCGUAAAGCUCUGUUGUAAGUCAAGAACGGGUGUGAGAGGGGAAAGUUCACACUGGGACGGUAGUUUACCAAAAAGGGACGGCUAACUACGU